rnacentral:rRNA from 1 species
AGAGUUUGUAUCCUGGCUCAGGAUGAACGCUGGCGGCGUGCUUAACACAUGCAAGUCGAACGAAGCACCUAGGAAAGAUUCUUCGGAUGAAAGCCUUUGUGACUGAGUGGCGGACGGGUGAGUAACGCGUGGGUAACCUACCUCAUACAGGGGGAUAACAGUUGGAAACGACCGCUAAUACCGCAUAAGCCAACAGAACCGCAUGGUUUAGUUGGAAAAGAUUGAUCGGUAUGAGAUGGACCCGCGUCUGAUUAGCCAGUUGGCAGGGUAACGGCCUACCAAAGCGACGAUCAGUAGCCGGCCUGAGAGGGUGAACGGCCACAUUGGGACUGAGACACGGCCCAAACUCCUACGGGAGGCAGCAGUGGGGAAUAUUGCACAAUGGGGGAAACCCUGAUGCAGCGACGCCGCGUGAGUGAAGAAGUAUUUCGGUAUGUAAAGCUCUAUCAGCAAGGAAGAAAAUGACGGUACUUGACUAAGAAGCCCCGGCUAACUACGUG